UAGGCACGAAAACAAUUAAUGCAGCCACGAUACAAGAGAGAGGUCCUAGAGAGAGACAGACAAGGUGCUGGAAACUUUGACAGGCCGUGUAAUUUGAGUUGCCUAUAUCAACUUAAAUCGGGGAAAUAUAAAAGUGAAAUUCUACAUAUAAAAGUAACAUAAAAACAUAAUCAAGGACUUCUUCACUUUAUAUAAAACAGUCACUAAUUUAGUAUUUAAAUAGUUUUAAAAUUAUUUAACUCCCAAAUACUUUAGGAAAGUAGGUAUUUGUUUUGAUAAAUACAAAUAACAAUUCUGAAAAGUAUUUAAACUGAUUUAAACACCAAGUAUGGUACUGUGUACUCUAUUUACUCUGUAAAUACAAAAAAGUAUUUAAAUUUUGAAAUAUGUACUGCCAAUCAGCCCUGAAAGUUAAAAUAUGAGGUCCAUUCAACGAACUGUCAAUACUGAUUCAAUCGGGUCCAUUUAUAUAGGCAACUCAAAUUACACGGCCUGUCAAAUUCUCCAGCACCUUGUCUGUCUCUCUCUAGAACCUCUCUCUUGUAUGUUGGUGGCAAUCUCGCUUCACUAUUUGAAUGGGACAGGGCCAUUCCAUCCGUAUUGACAGUUCAUUGGUUUAUAAUCAUCGUAUUUUGUCUAUUUUGGAUUCAUUUGGAUUUCGUUUCCUGUUUUUGUGCACUUUAUAAACUUAACCACAAUGCAAAAUGAUUAUUUAAGGCAAUUAUUAUUGGAAACUUCAGAUGUUGCGAGAAAGAUAUUUAUUGAAGCUGAAAAUAAUUGGGGAUUUAGAUCCAUACGCAAUUCAGUCAGAAUUGGAUUUUACAGUUAAGUGCAGUCCAUCAAGUUACUAUUAUAGAUAUUUAUACAUAUUUGGUGGAGUCUCACAGUUGCUACUCUAAGCAGCAGAUGAAAGCAUACAAAAGCCUUCAGGCACAUAAAUAUUUUACAGCUGGAUUUGUUUUGAAUGGAGUAAAAAUUGUUAAUGAUUUCCUGAUUUCCAUAUUAUUGUAGGAAAGGUGAAGCAUUUCCAAAAAGCUAAUGCUAAACGACUAAAUGCUUGGGUGGGGUGAUAGCCAGUUCUGAUGACAUAGCAAAUGCACAUUGUAUGCAUAUGGCCGGUAAUAGUAAAGUAUGCCCAGGGCAAGACAGACGAAGAAGAACCCAAUGCAUGUACAUAUGUUACAGCUACAUGGUUUGGAGAUAGCAACAUAUGCAUUCUCUGAUGAAAAACUAAUGAGUUUUGAAACUGUUCGGUCAGAGUGCUUGUUGCGCUCACUAAACGAACUGAAAUAUGAGAUGGCUUUGGCAUUGUGUUGCAGCGAUAUGAAAAUGGUUAUUCAUUUUUAAUUAUAAUGUACUUCUUCAUCAUGAGUAAUUAUGUAUUGGUCUUUUAAAUGUGUAUUUAUUUUUGUAAUUAGUAUCAACUUGUAAUGAUAAUAUACACUUAUCGUUUAAGGUAUGACUAUGUUUAGACUCUAAAAUAAAUGUUUUAAAAAUCGAA